rnacentral:lncRNA from 1 species
GAUUCAUACUUAUUCAUGACUUAGUCAUGUAUGGGAUGUUCUGGAUAUGAUAGAAUAUGUAUGGAGGUUAUGACUAGGUCAAUAUGGAAUCGAUCACUCCUGGUAAGAGAAGAUCGCAUCCUACUUGCUCUGAUCUAUUGAUGAUUUAGGAAGCCUUUGAUCAAAGCUGAAUGAAAAUUAUUGGUGCAAAAAUCCGCCUG